rnacentral:rRNA from 1 species
GAACCUUACCAGGUCUUGACAUCCCGAUGCUAUUUCUAGAGAUAGAAAGUUACUUCGGUACAUCGGUGACAGGUGGUGCAUGGUUGUCGUCAGCUCGUGUCGUGAGAUGUUGGGUUAAGUCCCGCAACGAGCGCAACCCCUAUUGUUAGUUGCCAUCAUUCAGUUGGGCACUCUAGCGAGACUGCCGGUAAUAAACCGGAGGAAGUGGGGAUGACGUCAAAUCAUCAUGCCCCUUAUGACCUGGGCUACACACGUGCUACAAUGGUUGGUACAACGAGUUGCGAGUCGGUGACGGCGAGCUAAUCUCUUAAAGCCAAUCUCAGUUCGGAUUGUAGGCUGCAACUCGCCUACAUGAAGUCGGAAUCGCUAGUAAUCGCGGAUCGGCACGCCGCGGUGAAUACGUUCCCGGGCCUU